UACGAAGGGUGCAAACGUUGCUCGGAAUCAUUGGGCGUAAAGCGCACGUAGGCGGCGCAGUAAGUCGGACGUGAAAUCCCUCGGCUCAACCGAGGACGUGCAUCCGAAACUACUGUGCUCGAGUAUGGAAGAGGGUCGCGGAAUUCUCGGUGUAGAGGUGAAAUUCGUAGAUAUCGGGAGGAGCACCAGUGGCGAAGGCGGCGACCUGGGCCAAUACUGACGCUGAGGUGCGAAAGCGUGGGGAGCAAACAGG
rnacentral:rRNA from 1 species